rnacentral:rRNA from 1 species
AUUGAACGCUGGCGGCAUGCUUUACACAUGCAAGUCGAACGGCAGCGCGGGCUUCGGCCUGGCGGCGAGUGGCGAACGGGUGAGUAAUGCAUCGGAACGUGCCCAGUAGUGGGGGAUAGCCCGGCGAAAGCCGGAUUAAUACCGCAUACGACCUGAGGGUGAAAGCGGGGGACCGAAAGGCCUCGCGCUAUUGGAGCGGCCGAUGUCGGAUUAGCUAGUUGGUGGGGUAAAGGCUUACCAAGGCGACGAUCCGUAGCUGGUCUGAGAGGACGACCAGCCACACUGGGACUGAGACACGGCCCAGACUCCUACGGGAGGCAGCAGUGGGGAAUUUUGGACAAUGGGGGCAACCCUGAUCCAGCCAUGCCGCGUGCGGGAAGAAGGCCUUCGGGUUGUAAACCGCUUUUGUUCGGGAAGAAAUCCUCUGGGCUAAUACCCCGGGGGGAUGACGGUACCGGAAGAAUAAGCACCGGCUAACUGCGUG